GGAGUUAGCCGGUGCUUCUUCUGUGAGUGAUGUCCUUCCUGCCGGCUAUUAACCCGCAGGCCUUCUUCCUCACUGAAAGUGCUUUACAACCCGAAGGCCUUCUUCACACACGCGGCAUGGCUGGAUCAGGGUUGCCCCCAUUGUCCAAUAUUCCCCACUGCUGCCUCCCGUAGGAGUCUGGGCCGUGUCUCAGUCCCAGUGUGGCUGAUCAUCCUCUCAGACCAGCUACGGAUCGUCGCCUUGGUGAGCCGUUACCUCACCAACCAGCUAAUCCGACAUAGGCUCAUCCGAUAGCGCGAGGCCCGAAGGUCCCCCGCUUUCCCCCGUAGGGCGUAUGCGGUAUUAGCCUGGGUUUCCCCAGGUUAUCCCCCACUACCGGGCAGAUUCCUAUGCAUUACUCACCCGUCCGCCGCUCGCCACCAGGGAGCAAGCUCCCCGUGCUGCCGCUCGACUUGCAUGUGUAGCNGCCGCCAGCGUCAUCUGAGCGAGAGUUAACUACUGA
rnacentral:rRNA from 1 species